rnacentral:snoRNA from 1 species
GCACCCCAGCAAAACCAUGGUCUCCUAUCAGUGUUGGCCAUGGGCAUUGACGGUUCAAGACUGACUCUAAGUAUAUCUAGACGGAUCUCCCUCUCCAAUUGGAGCCUGUCUCUACAACUUGAGAUAUAAAA